AUUGAACGCUGGCGGAAUGCUUUACACAUGCAAGUCGAACGGCAGCACGGACUUCGGUCUGGUGGCGAGUGGCGAACGGGUGAGUAAUGUAUCGGAACGUGCCCAGUCGUGGGGGAUAACGUAGUGAAAAUUACGCUAAUACCGCAUACGAUCUAUGGAUGAAAGCGGGGGAUCGCAAGACCUCGCGCGAUUGGAGCGGCCGAGAUCAGAUUAGGUAGUUGUGGGGGUAAAGGCCCACCAAGCCAACGAUCUGUAGAUGGUCUGAGAGGACGACCAGCCACAAUGGAACGGAGACAAGGUCCAGACUCCUACGGGAGGCAGCAGUGGGGAAUUUUGGACAAUGGGCGAAAGCCUGAUCAAGCCAUUCCGCGUGCAGGAUGAAGGCCCUCGGGUUGUAAACUGCUUUUGUACAGAACGAAAAGGUUUCUACUAAUACUAGGAGCUCAUGACGGUACUGUAAGAAUAAGCACCGGCUAACUACGUGCCAGCCGCCGCCGUAA
rnacentral:rRNA from 1 species